rnacentral:lncRNA from 1 species
UUUUUUUUUUUUUUUUUUUUUUUUUUUUUAAUAUAUCUGUAAAUAAAUCAGCACCAACAAGCACAAAUUGUCAGUUAAAUUUCUACAGCCGGUGAUUUUAAAAGUCUCACCUGUUGAUCCUGGGAAAUCCUUGCAGUUCAUGUGAAGUGACCAGAAGAAGUAAAUUGAUAGUGCUUAGCAUCAGUGCAAAGCUAAAAUUUCUAAAAAGGUUGUCUCUUCUUUAGUAGAAACUGUUCUAUGUGAAGGGAAAAAAAAUGAAAAUGAUUGAAACUCCAUAAAUCACGGAUUGGGGUAAAAACGAGUGGAUAACAAUUGCAGUAGAAGGCAUUGCAGAGCCUGGGUGAUUUAAGAGCUGGCUAUGAAUCAGCAGGAUUGCAGUGCCCUGAAACACACGCGUCACACAAGCAGGAAGUCUGCAAGGCACACACGGUGCUCCUUUCACUUGUCAAAGCUUUGCUUAGGCUCAAUUUGAAUGCUAUGUCUAAUUUUGGGUAUUGCACCUCUGGGCUCUCACCAAAUCCUUCCUGUCUUAAGAAAAGAAGAGGAUCCUCUGAGGUCUAGGGAGUGUGGUCUAUGAAGAGUGGUUGAGAAUGUGCGUUAUCUAUGUAACAUAAGGAUAAGGAGGAGAACGGGACUGGAGGAGGUUCCUGCAGGAAGAGCAGUUCUCUGUUCCUAUUGUAAAUCAACUCAAUUUAUUAUGUGCUAUGGGCCAUUCUUUAUAUACUAAACAGACUUCACACAUUUUUGGGUUUGUGUUUUAUUUGGGUUUGUCUUGUUUUGUUUUUUUAAUAAUAAUGUCCCUACUAGAAGAAUCUGUUUUGUUACUUUCUGUGAUGCACUCAAGCUGGAAUAUGUAAAGUUUGCAAGGAACGAUGACUGGGUUUUUUUUUGUUGUUGUUUUUGGUUUUUUUUUUUUCAAUGGUAAGGUGACAACAAUUUGAGAGGGCUUGGGUUUUCUUUCUAGGUUUUGAUAGAGAAGUCCAAGGAUAUGAAAGGCCAUUUCAAAAGGGGAGGGAGGGACCAUCUCUCUCUGUGUCUGUAACAAUGAAGAAAUAAAGGGAUUAACUUUGCAGCAAGGAAGAUUCAGGUUGUAUUAUAAAGAGCUUUUUUUUCAGAGAAGGCCUGCUUCACACUAGAAUAGCUUGCUUUUGAAGGUUUUGAAAAACAGGUUAGACAUCUGCCACAAAAGAUCAUGCACAACUGAUUCUACCCAGAGACAGGAGAGUAGAUUAGAUGACCUCUCAAGAAUUUUUGCAGUUCUGUUUUCUGUGACUCUGUCAGUUCCAUGGUUAUUCGUUAAAGGCAUGUGCUUUCACACAGAGCAGUGAGAAUGUGAGGCUGGCUGGAUGGGGUCAGACUGUUUAACCCAGUGCACCAUCCCAGUGGGAGCUGAAAGCAGAUGUGCAGGGAAUACUGUACAAACAGGGCAACUACACUGGGUAAUACUUUUUCUGUAGAUGGUUUCUGUGUAUUUAGUAGCUUUUGUUAGAUUCCAGUUCCUUGAAUUUAUCUGGUGCCCCUUGAACAAGUCUGAGCUUUUGGUGUUUAUGGUAUUCCACAACCAGAAGCUCUUGCAGCUCCAUUGCCUGUGUGAAAACCUUUCUUUUGGUUUUGAAUCUGACCUUCUUUUAGCUUCAUUUGGUGCUUCUUGGUUCUCAUUCUUUUAGACAGACAUUAUAGAUGCAUUCUAUCUGUUGCAGCUGAAGACUUUAUCAAUUUCUACCUUAUUCACUCUUGAGCAUUUUUGUGUCUUGAUUCAAAAGUUCUAGCUUAUGUAGCUAUUUAUUAUAUGGUAGAUGAUGCUUGGAUUUUCCUUGUUGCCCUCGUUGGAACAUGUUGAGCUCUACAUCCUUUCAGAUGGAUGGGACAAAAGUCAUAUAGAAGAUGCAGUCACUGUAUAGGUAGUAAAGAAAUGUUCUUUGUUUUAGUCUCAAUUCCUUUUCAAAUAAGAGAUUUUUUUUCUUUUCAUGACAUUAUUAUUGAGCACCAAGCUUAUGUUUCCAUAAUCUGCUGUCCUAACCUCAAGGUCCCUUUUCCUAAGUAAUACUGGUCAGCUCAUUUUUUAUUUGAAAUUUGGAAAGCUUUAUUCUCCUGCUCCUUUUCUGGCUUUCUUAUAAAUACAACAAGCAGCCCAAGUCCCAGGAUACAUAUCUGUGAGGAAAGUUUAUUUCCCUAACUCUUUAGGUGAUUUUAUUCUAUUUUUGAAAAAUUCUUUAUCUGUGCAAGAGCCUUCAUUAUUUUUUGGAGGUCCUUAGCUUCCUUAAGCCUUCUGGAAAUCCUGAUAGAUUGUAUCAUCUGGAUUUCCACUGACCAUGUGCCUUUGGGAAUAAAACUAAGACAGUACUAGCAAACAAUAUGAUUUUCUUAGACAUGAGAAACUAUUCUACUCACCAAAUGCAAAUUUGUUGGUUUAGUCACACUGUCUUGUUCCAAGUUCUGACACAUGGCCUUUCUGUGCUUUUUAAUGCUCAGAAUGCAAUGAUUUAAAAAUUUCUGUCUUGAUUUUUUUAAUACUGGCAUUAUAAAUGGAUGGAUUUUACUAUUUGAAGAAAUAUUUUGAUGAAAAUCAUUGUUAACUGAGUGCUGUUGACUAUGUCAUGUUGUACAAUAAAAAUUUUGCAAAACAAUUUAAAUCUUUUCAACACUAAUCAUGCCUAUUGAAACAAACUUUUUUUUCUCAGUAUUGUUUGGUGUUGUGUUAUUACUGACAUUAUUGACAAAAUAGAUGUAUUGUCUUUUAUAUUUUCUAAUUUGUAGUUGAAUAUCACUCAGCAAACUGAGGGAGGAAAAAGGAAAAGAAGCUUCAAAUCAGGGUUGUACUGGUCAUGUCCAUUGCUCUGGAUUUGGUAAAAAGGCUGAGUUUACUUGUCUGUAUUAGGUGGAUAUAUACAGGCCUUUGCAAACCAGUAAUGUUGCUGAUUGUGUCAUUAUAUGAGCAAGCUAAGAUCUCUGCCCCUUUAAUGGAAAAGAGCCCAUCAUUAAAAAUGUAAUGCAUAUUUUCAGGUAAUUAAGAAUGAUGCAUCUGAGUGCUUUUCAAGGUUUUUCCCUUCCCCCAAUUCCUUCCUUCCUCCAGCACACUUCUGGCAUGGGAAUGUGUUGUUUCCUGUAGCAAAUACUGAGGGCUGAUAUGAACAGAAGAUAUUGUCUUGAUCACCUUUCAUCUUUUAUGAUUGAAAAUGUUAUCUGCAUAUUUUUUUAUUAAAAAAGAAAAAAAAAAGAACAAAAACAAACCCUAAAAAUAUCUAAAUUCCUCUCUUGAAGUGCUUCAUCUCCAGCUAAGGAUUUAAGAAUGCAUAUAAUUAUACAUAAUAAUUUCAGCACUGUCAGAUUAGAUUGAUUUUUAGUCACUUUUGUGCAGAUUAGAUUCAACUCAGGUGCUCAUACUGAAAGGAGGUGCAUUAAUCUGCAGUGACGUUCAGUCUCUCCCAAUUAGUAAGUUCUAAGAGAUGUUAGAUAAUGUGAGUUUGGUGAUGUGAAGCAUUUUUGUUCUGCCACAGAUUUAGUAAAUUUAAGGAGGUUUAGGCCUUCAAAGGCAACUAUCAGCAACUUAAGUGUUUGGCUACCAAAAAAAAAAAAAAAAAGAAGGAAAAAGUAAUAGGAGAAUAUUUCUGACAGAUUUAAAAGCCUGGAGACAAAUAAUGAUGGUUCACCUGAGACUUCAAGGGACAUUUUAAAAAAAUAUAACAAAACAUUUAUGUAAUGUAAGGAUGUAGCGCACACAUCUUUGUGCAAUGAAAAGCUGCCUUAAAAUUUUGGUUGGUGUAUUGACUUUUAAAAUGUGCAUAAGUUUGCAUAGUGGUUUCCAUAAUGCUACAUAACCUUGUUUUCUAGCAUGUAUGUGUUCCUGUGUAGUGUUGAAGGUCACACAUUAAUUUCUUCAAACUGCAUGUGGUCAGACUAUAAUUUUAAUUAUUUGCAAGGCAAUGGUACAUUAGCAUUACAGAAGAGAACAGUGAAGGACGAAGUACUGAAAAAUGAAGUGCAAAUAAAUGACAUUGCAAUGUGUGCAUGUCUUCUGAUUUUGCAGAAUUAAUGCCGUCAAGGCUGUGCUGUAGCUCAGAGUAGAUAUGUGUUGCUUAAUUAUCUCGUUACUGAAUAUGCUUAUUGCAUAAUCUGGGGUAGGAAUAAUUGAGUCCAUUACUGUACAUAAACAAUUGCCAAUUUAUAGUACUUCAGAAAAAAAUCUUGAUUGUAAACAGAUGUUACAGAAUCUAAAAUAUUGAUGCUAUCUUUCUUUUGCCAUGAUGAAAUCUUAAAUGAUUUUCUAAAUGUGUUCUUUGCAAAUGCUUAUUGAAAAUUGAUGGUAUUUUCUUUAUGUUUCUUACAGGAAAGUGUCUACUCCAAUUAAUUUUUUCCUUUCCAUUCUUGCCUUAAUUUUUGAAUAAGCUAUUAGUUUGUUUUUAUUUUUUUAAUAUUGGUGUUAGCUAAUGCCAGUGAGCCACUUCCUUUUACUAACUUAAGAAGGCUGGCUUUUGAUUAAAUGAGAGCAAUAUAGAAUGUGAUUUUACUGAUGAAGCAAUGAUGAUUUUGUAGGCAGGUAGGCAGUUUUCAGUCUCCUGAUUAAAAAGAUACAAGUUUAUUGUAUUUCAGGAAUGUUUGCAUAAAUCCCAAAUUUUUGUUCAAACAAGCAAAAUACCCAACCCGGUAUGAGCUUAGUAUGAAUACCAGGAACUAGUUUGAACAGUCUGGCAAGAUAUAAGGGUUUUCCUGCAGAUUGUAUUCCCUUGUAGUUUUAAGGUUUAAAUUCUUACUUUUUGCCAGAAUGUUAACCUGCCUAGUCCCAACGCAGUGGUCAAUAUCCACUUUCCCACUUUCAUAUGAUUUUGAUUGUUUAAAAUUGUACAUGAGGUUAAGAAGAGGGAAUUUUUUCUUCCUCUGAAACAAUAUAUAGACAAAAUAAAUUUGGUUGGUGCGGUUUGAGUUUUGUGUUGUUUGCAGUUUUUCUCCUUUAUUUGUGAUGAUGAAAUAGAUACUUCUUUAAAAUAUAUAACUCCUGCAUCAGAAGGGACACCAUAGACUUGUCUGUGUGAUUUCUGUUUGGGUGGAGCAAGGCCUGGUCUGAUUCCUCUUGGAAGCAGAGGAAAACUCUCCAUUGACCGUAGCAGGAGCUAGAAUUCCUGCAGAAAGAGGAGUUACUUCAUGUACUUAAUGAGAUGAUAUUUGUCUAAAACUGGAAGUGGGAGCUCUGAUGUCUUACGAGAAUGAAGUUGCAACCUGUAUGAAAGAUUUUGUUUCUAACUGCCCUGUUGCUUUCUCCGCUUAGGAAUUCUUAUUACACUGUAUGCCAUACAGCAGUGAUAGAUGGAGUUUUAUAAAUACAUAUAUAUAUAUAUAUAGAGAGAGAGACUUCAAUAUUAUGUGAUUGGACAUCACAUACCCAGACACAAUUAUAUAUUUAAAAAAAGAUAAAACAUCUAUAUAUACAAUAUGUGGAGGUAUGAGUGAGUGUGUAUAAGAAGAUGACAGAGGGCUCUCCUUUUAUCAUUAAAGCUUUGCUUUAGAGUACAGUAAGUGAGUACAUGCCUCCUGUUAUGCAUAAUUAUUCUCCAGUCUCAAGGGGAAGUUUUGUAUCUUACGUCUGCAAUAUGAAACUGAUCUCACAAAUACUCAGCCCAGAAGUGUUCAUUUAAUCUUGGAAGUAGUCCCACUGAAUUUAAUGAGCCCUCAGAUGGUAAAUUCUUUGGGGCUCUUAUUUUCCUUUCUGCCUUAUUCAAUGGCAAGAACAAUCUCCAUUAGCUUUUACAUUAGCUUCUACUGUUACUUACAACAAAAUGCUUUUAGGUUUUGGCUUGAAAAUGUUAAUUGAAACACAUAGGCACAAAAACUCUGAGGCAAAACACAAUAAUUAAAUUAGAAUUAUUCCAAAAUCACUUAAGGAAUUUGGGUUGGCUUUCUGAAAUUUCAAAAGCUGUGUUUUUGAAUGUUGCUCCAGGUCUCAUCUCAUUUCGCCAUUUUUGUGGCUUUUGAGAGAGGAAGGAUUGUAGACCUUAAACGGUAAGAUUCCAACCUACUGAUGAAUGUUGAUAGUCAAGGUAACUUUGGCUUCUCUUCAGCGGGGUGUAAGUGUAGAAGAUCCCAGAUUUUGUUAACUCUGAUGCUGGCAGCCAAAGAUAUCUGCUUUUACCCAUCAGAGUCUUUUGAACUCCAUUCCAGCUAACAAUAUUUUUCCAAGUGACUGCAUCGGCCCUGGAUGAGCCUUUGUCUCUUCAUGCUUCCCAAAUCACAUGGGUAAAAUAAGUUUUCUGCAGGCUGGGUUGGCUCAGUAGAUUUGCUGUGGUCUGACAAAAUAUUUAUUAACAAGCUGUAUGUAAAGCAUAAACUCAUUCUAGAUAAUUGACACCUCAUUUUUUUUUUUCUUCCCAGAUGGUUUCAAUCUUGCUUUCAGAGCAGGGGGUAAUUUAACCUGCCAGCAGAGAAUUUCCAAAACUUUGCAAGUUUAUAAACUUUGUAAGCUUUUUCAUAGAGUUAGAGCAGCAUUUCUAUUCUAGCAGUGUAAAACUAUGCCCCACACUGCCCAGAGCUUAGUUAUGUGACUGCAGUGCAUGAAAAUAUUCCUUUGGGAGCAUGCUUUGAAAGAAUUAAUGAGAAAUUGUGCAUGAUUUCUUAGGUAUUUUUAUCUUGAGGGUGCUAGGUCUGCUAGCAUCUGUUAUCUUCUGAGAAAAAAGAAUGGAGUAGGAGAUGGGAGGAAGAGGGAGCAGUACAAUUAUAGGCAGUAAAACCAUUAUGUUAUGAGAAAGUUAGGUGAGAUUAUUUGGUUUGUGUAUUGGUUUUUACUUUAAAUCUGUAUUUGAAAGGCACAUUAUUUCCUGCAUUGGUUUUCAUGUUAAAAAAAUGGCAUUCUGGCUCAGCAGUACUGUCAAGAAGUACAAUAUGUCCCACCUCAUUAAGUACUGUAUUUUUCUCCUCUCCAUCUGUCUAGAACAGCAGGAAAACUUGUUUUCAAAUAAGAAAAUAAUCAGUUAUGUCCAUUUCCAUUCUUUACCUCUGUAUCUGUGUAUGUCCAAAAAUUUGUUUGAAUUUGAAUAGGGAAGUGUCUCUGGCACAGCAAUCCUAAUAAAGGUGCUAUUCAGAAGAUCAGGGUGUGUUGUUUGGUAGCAAGGUCAUCACCUAGGAGAGCACAAACGAAAAAAAAUAGUCACAGACUGGUUUGGGUUGAAAGGGACCUUAAUGACCAGCUAGUUCCAACCCCUGUGCCAUGGGCAGAGACACUUUCCACUAGAGCAGGUUGCUUUUACUGGAUACAUGAGGGAAGGCAAAUCUGCCCAUUUAAUAGAACUCUGGUUGACUGACAGCAUAGAGGAAAGAAAUUUAAAAAGGGAGGUA